AUUUGUCUGGUUAAUUCCGAUAACGAACGAGACCUUAACCUGCUAACUAGAUCUUAUUAUCUUAUAAUUUGCAUCUUCUUAGAGGGACUAUGUAAUCUAAAUACAUGGAAGUUUGAGGCAAUAACAGGUCAGUGAUGCCCUUAUAUGUCCUGGGCUGCACGCGUGCUACACUGAUGCAUACAACAAGUGCCUAACCAGACAUGGUAUGGCAAUCUCGAAUAUGCAUCGUGAUGGGGAUAGAUCUUUGCAAUUAUAGAUCUUGAACGAGGAAUUCCUAGUAAGUGCAAGUCAUCAUCUUGCAUUGAUUAUGUCCCUGCCCUUUGUACACACCGCCCGUCGCUCCUACCGAUACCGGGUGAUCCGGUGAACCUUUUGGACUCUUUAUGGGAAAGAUAAGUAAACCAUAUCACCUAAAGGAAGGAGAAGUCGUAACAAGGUUUCCGUAGGUGAACCUGCRGAAGGAUCA
rnacentral:rRNA from 1 species